rnacentral:rRNA from 1 species
GAUGAACGCUGACAGAAUGCUUAACACAUGCAAGUCGAUGGGGAAGUGGUGCUUGCACCAUGGCAACCAUGGCGGACGGGUGAGUAACGCGUAAGGGACUUACCUGCAGGACUGGGAUAACAGGGGGAAACUCCUGACAAGACCGGAUAAUGUCAUGGAGCUGCAUGGCUUUAUGAUGAAAGGAGACGCCUGCGGAGAGCCUUGCGUCCUAUUAGCUAGUUGGUGAGGUAAUGGCUCACCAAGGCGAAGAUAGGUAGCCGGCGUGAGGGGGUGGACGGCCACAAGGGGACUGAGAUACGGCCCUUACUCCUACGGGAGGCAGGAGUGGGGAAUAUUGGACAAUGGGGGCAACCCUGAUCGAGAAAUUCUGUGUGGACGAAGAAGGUUUUCGGAGUGUAAAGUGCUUUCAGCAGAGAAGAAGUAAGUGACGGUACCUGCAGAAGAAGCGACGGCUAAAUACGUG